UCUAAAGCUGUAACAAUAUACAUUAAUGUGAAAAUAGUAUUAAUGUUUGAUCUUGAAGUCUCUACAAGGAACAUAGUCUAUGUUGUAUUGCAAAAUUUAGCUCUUUUUAUUUAUAUAAUAAAAGUUGAAUGGGAUACUGUUUUCUUGGUGGUGAUAAUUUGGUUUUUUCUCUUGAACAUUUGUUUCUUUAAGAAGAACCACGGACACUGAAGCCGUGGAUAUAGAUUAACAGAACUGCAGUGUACAGUGAGAAAUGCAUUCUUCCAAAAUUCUGAACUAUGCUGUUCGUCUUUCCAUCACACAAGCGAGCUACGUGAGUGGCCGACAGACAGGUGGCCGGCUCGUUCUGCCGUCUGCCGUCGUCCUCGCCACCUUCGGACUGGGGCUGUCCACGUUCAGUGUUAGGAAACUGCUGUCAUCCAACACCAGCAAGUUUUGACCAUGUCACAAUCAUCCCAAAUUUUGGUCUAAUUUUCACUAAGUAAAAGUAUUUCAUAGUUGCACCUAAACAAUGGCACAUCUCAUUUUUGACUGAGUUGUGUGUUAAAACCUGUCCUAAGAAUUUAAAUGCUAUGCUGAUUUGAGUUUGAGUAUCUAGGUGCUGUAAUUGUCAUAAUGUUGUGUAAUGCUGUGUAAGACGCAUCUAGGAACAUGACAUUUGAUCUAUAACUACUUGCUAGUUUUGUAAUGGUAACUUGACAGCUAUGCUAUACAUGUAUGUAGUAAGUUAUCAGCUGUCCUAAUUUAAGUGUUCCAUAUUACCAAUUACUUGUAAUUUAUGAACAUUUUGUAUAUGUUGUCAACCAUCUCUGAAAUAAAUUUUAAAAAUGA